rnacentral:tRNA from 1 species
GCCCGCAUCGCAUAGUGGUAUUGCAAUAGAUUGGAAAUCUAUGCCCUUUCUGGGUUCGCAGGUUCGAUUCCUGCUGCGGGCG